AUGUUAGCCAUGGUUCGUGAAUUCUAUGAGAACUUGUUCUCUUCAGAACAAUGUUCACUCAUGAAUGAAGUCCUGAAUGCAAUUCCAAGGAAAGUUGAUGAUGAAAUGAAUGAAGAGCUAACCCGGGAAUACACUAAUGAAGAAAUUAAAGAUGCUCUAUUCCAGAUGGGGGCUACAAAGGCACCAGGGCCAGAUGGAUUUCCAGCUAUCUUUUACCAAAGGCACUGGGACCUCUUGGAGCAGGAUUUAUGUUCUGCGGUGAGGGGUUUCUUGACAGGUUCUGAUAUUCCGGAUGGCUUCUGCGACUCCAUUAUAGUACUAAUACCCAAGGUGAACAAUCCUGAUUCCUUAUCAAAUUUCAGACCAAUUAGCUUAUGCAAUGUAAUCUAUAAAAUCGCUUCAAAGGUGCUCGCAAACCGUCUAAAACCACUUCUUUCAGAGAUUGUUUCUGAGCAACAAAGUGCCUUUGUCCCCGGGAGAUUCAUUACAGAUAAUGUGCUCAUUGCUUAUGAAUGUCUCCACUCCAUUAAGAAUCAAAAAACUAAAUUUCCUUUUUUUGCUCUUAAAAUAGACAUGGUAAAAGCCUAUGACAUGAUUGAAUGGGAAUAUUUAGAAGGGGUUCUUCUGAAGUUGGGGUUUGAGUCCUCUUGGGUUAACAUUGUUAUGAGAUGUGUCACCUAUGGGAAAUAUGCGGUUAAAGUUAAUGGUGAAUUAACUGAAUCCUUCAUCCCAACUAGAGGCAUUCGUCAGGGCGAUCCUAUUAGUCCAUAUUUGUUUUUGUUAUGUGCUGAAGGUUUAUCAUGUUUAAUGCAAUAG
rnacentral:rRNA from 1 species